rnacentral:tRNA from 1 species
GGGCUAUAGCUCAGCUGGGAGAGCGCCUGCCUUGCAAGCAGGAGGUCAGCGGUUCGAUCCCGC